UACAGAGGUGGCAAGCGUUGUUCGGAAUUACUGGGCGUAAAGGGCGCGUAGGCGGUUCGUUAAGUCCUGUGUGAAAUCCCCCGGCUCAACUGGGGAACUGCACAGGAAACUAGCGGGCUUGAGUUCGGGAGAGGGAAGCGGAAUUCCGGGUGUAGCGGUGAAAUGCGCAGAUAUCAGGAAGAACACCUAUGGCGAAGGCAGCUCUCUGGGACGGUACUGACGCUGAGACGCGAAAGCGUGGGGAGCGAACAGG
rnacentral:rRNA from 1 species